ACAUCCAGAGAAUUUAGCAGAGAUGCUUUAGUGCCUUCGGGAACUCUGAGACAGGUGCUGCAUGGCUGUCGUCAGCUCGUGUUGUGAAAUGUUGGGUUAAGUCCCGCAACGAGCGCAACCCUUUAUCCUUUGUUGCCAGCACGUAAUGGUGGGAACUCAAAGGAGACUGCCGGUGAUAAACCGGAGGAAGUGGGGAUGACGUCAAGUCAUCAUGGCCCUUACGAGUAGGGCUACACACGUGCUACAAUGGCGCAUACAAAGAGAAGCGACCUCGCGAGAGCAAGCGGACCUCAUAAAGUGCGUCGUAGUCCGGAUUGGAGUCUGCAACUCGACUCCAUGAAGUCGGAAUCGCUAGUAAUCGUAAAUCAGAAUGUUACGGUGAAUACGUUCCCGGGCCUUGUACACACCGCCCGUCACACCAUGGGAGUGGGUUGCAAAAGAAGUAGAUAGCUUAACCUUCGGGAGGGCGUUUACCACUUUGUGAUUCAUGACUGGGGUGAAGUCGUAACAAGGUAGGCGUAGUGCU
rnacentral:rRNA from 1 species